UCUAGCCAUAAAAGAGAUCCUGAAGCUCUGCGGGGGUUGAUUUCUGGGGUUGCUGCUCCAAGCAGUGCUGUGCUGCUGCAGUGCCACUGUUCUAACACUCAGCAUAGCUCAUGUAUUGCAAUUUCAGUGUUCAACAGCAAAGAUAUGCUCACGUUUCUCCUCUCAUCUCUUUGCAUCCAUCUUCUCCUUACUUACAGUUAAAUACAACUAAAUAUCUUUUCUUUUAGGGCUUUUAUUUUUUUUUUUUUAGGGUUUUUAAUGCUUAGCGCUGAGAAAAUAUAAGCUGUGGCUAUUGCUCCUGCCUGCUAAAUGAACACAAAAUGAAGCCCAACAGUCCAUCAGUGGAACAGCCUGCAGUCAUGCACAAAACACUGCCAGCCUUGGUCUUAAGUCAUAGUUGCAGGUUUGAUCUUUAUUUUAAAAAGCUAUGACCUAGUUUAAGCGUAAGUUACAGUCUGUGAUCUGCAGAUGGUCCAAGUGAUCAAAAUGUCACCUUCUGGCUUCCUUCUGUGUGACCUCCAAGAAAUCAGGCCAGCCAAAAGAGCACACAAAAGUCUUACUGGGGAGACUGACAUCAACAUCUGCUCCUUGAAAUUGCCCAUGGAAGCAAGGAGGAGUUGCUCAUGAAACCUUACAGCUGUGCAGAAAAAUAAAAGCAACAAGGUGCAGCUGAAAACCAGAGCCUGUAUUAGCACCUGAUCAGGGACUGAGGAGCUGCGGGCCUGGUGCUGGUCUCAAGGCAUUAAAGCCCAUCCAUCUGUAGGCCUGUCCUUUUCUUCCUCUUUGUACAUUUUCUAGGGUGAUUUCACUGAUUCCCUUGGGAAUUGCUCUGGCUCUACAAUGUGGCCAACAUGGUCAACUUUGGACUUGACAUAUAUCUCGGUAAAUAGGAGGAAAUAGAAAGAACUUGUUAAAAGAUAUAUAUAUAUAUGUAUGUAUGUAUAUAUGUAUGUAUUAAAUACCUCCAUAGAAAAGAUGCUUAUAUGAGGAAGAGACUCCAGGUCUGCGGGUCUGAGAGAAGGCAGGUCAGAUGUUCCCUGGAUUUCAAUUGCAGCAGCGUUGACCUAGCAGAAAACCCAGAAGUGGAAACCAGUCCACAGAAACAGGACAAGAGAUAAUGGUUUUAAGUUGUGUCUGGGGAGAUUCGAUUUGGAUAGUAGAAAAAAAUUUAUUCUCUGAAAGAGUGGUGAGACAUUGGAACAGUCUGCCCAGGGAGGUGGUGGAGUCACUGUCCCUGGAGGUGUUCAAGAAACCUGGAGAUGUAGCAAUAACUGACAUGGUUAUUGGGCAUGGUGGUGAUGGGUUGAUGGUUGGAUUAGGUGAUCUUAGUGAUCUUUCCAGCCUUAAGGAUUAUGUGUAACCACCUGUGUCACCUCUCUUCUCUCAAAUCUCCACCACUCAAUUAUCAGUAAAGCACUGGAUGGCCUCCUGUGUUACCCAAAGCAAUGGGAGACCAACUGCCAGAUGCCAUUGGCUCCGCCACCUACUAGAUCCAUGGAAAAAAAAACCUGAGUAUUAAAAAGACAAUAAAUCUUUACCUAUAUAAAUUAUGGUGUGGACAAAAGAAAUUAAUAAAAUGUAUCUUCAGAGUGUCUCAAUGCCAUUAAAAGAGUAUCUCAAACCAAUUAAAAGAGCAUCCAUAAUUCACUCAUGCUCACUCCCAUGGAUCUGUGGCGUAGUACAGAAAGCACGUGUGCGUCCAUAAUCUUGUCCCAUCAUUUCAUAUAGUCCUUGUUUUUGAGACAGGAGGAAGGCUUUCAGUCAGCAAGGUUUAUGCAUUUAUCGGCCUUCUCUGUCAGUAGCUCCAAACCUUGGACUCUGGGUCCUUCUGAUCUCGGACUAUCUUAGUCUGUGACUUUCUUGAAAAAACACUUGUCUCAACCCACUGAGCAGAGCACACUUAACCUUUUCAGGCUAUUGGAUCUGCCUUAUCACAAUUUACUUUCAGGCCCAGGAGACAGGACAGCAUUGCAACACUGAAAGUCAAAGGGCCUGAAAAAAAAUAACGUGGUUAUUCAGGGAGGGAAAGCAAACAAAUAAAGAUGGGUCUCCAUGGGUCUUUCAUAUUCCCUCAUCCCAUCUCAUGUUUUGUGACUUUCCCUCAGCCGUGUGGAAUUUCUCACUUUCCCUCCUGACUGUCUUUGAAAGAAAGCAAGGCGAGAUCUCACCUCCAUGUGCUGGGACAUCACAGGGUCAACCUGAAAUCCCAAUGUUUGAACUCUCAUUGCUGCAAUUGACAACUCUGAGGAAUAUGUUGUGGAAUUGUUACUACUGAAAUUAUUUUUCUAUUUAUUUUCAGAUAGUUUUUAGGCUUGCAGAUUGUGCCUAAUAGGAUAUAGUGUCUAAGUGAAUCUAUCAAUCAGACACUUUCUCCUACCAUGGAAAUAAUGAAUUAAAAAGAAAGUACUGCAAGUCUGAUCAUGCUGUGGAUUCAACAACAAAUGGAGAUUUUCUAGAGUUACUAGGAGGUGCAGUUUGUGCCUGCUUUUGCAAGGACAUCACAUCAAGUUUCCUUUUUGUCUUUAGACCUGAAGAAAUCAUGUUUGCAGUUCUGGGCUCCCCAGUACAAAAAAAUAUUCUGUGAUUCUGUGAUUGGAAGAAUAAUACAAGGGAAAGGGGUUGCCACAUAUGAGAGAAACCUUUGAAUAUUCAUCUAUAUAUGACAUAAACUGACCUAUUGCAAUUCCUUCUAGUGGAGAUAGGUAAGAGAGGCCUUUGCUUUGGGUGUCUUGAAUGUCAGAAUCUUGUUUCUCCAUAGUAUUCCAUUAUUGUCAGUAAAAUAGGAAGAUGACUGAAUGCUGGAACAAAAUCAGAACCAGUUUUGAUCAGGACCAUAACAUAUGAAGUAUCACACAAAUGGACAUGGAGAUGUUGGUUUUCAGGCUAUCACUGUGCAUGGUCUGCUAAGGAGUAUGCAAUAGGCCUAUAUGGGCAGAGUCCUAUUAACUUCAGUGGGAGCUUCCUCUGAUAGAUAGGAAGCAGUCCUCAGGUAUUAUCUCAGUGCUGUGUCUGACUUCUAAACACCUAGCUGCACAGAGGAUCAACUGAAUUGUCUGACAUGUAUUUUAAUUUCAAGGAACUUAACCCAGAAAUGCACUCUGAUUCACAAAUAUCAGCUCUUCCCACAUGAAAGCCAACACCGAUUUGCAAAGUCAUCCCACCUCUGUUUUGUAUUCAGCCCUUCAUUGUUGAACAUCUUUUGAAAGAGGCUGUGAACUGACAAUGAUCCUGUUGGCAAAGUUUUUGCCCACAAUCUUUGGUAGACUCCAGUCCUCCAAAUAUGCCACUUACCACUUUCCCCAAGCACAGCAAGAAGUUGUGCUGUGUUAGGACAGCUUCUGGCUUCACAGAUGUAAAAGACAUAAUCUAUUUCCAACCUCUCUCUCCCUGCCCAGCUACCUCUAUCAUGACCCAACGAUGGCCAGUUUCCCCUCUCAUCAGAAGCCUUCUCUGACAAGCAGCUCCCUGGUGGCUUUCCAAAAACAGCAGGCCCAGCAAAAGCCUUCACUGUGCACACAUCGCAAUUCUCAGAUGGUAUCUCUGGGACAAGCACAACCUACAGGCUCUUCAUGUUGAAGACAACAGAAAUAUGCACAAUGCCAGGAACUCUCUUUUUUAAUAUUAUUUUCUACUUGGUUUGCAGCUGAACAAACCUCCCUGAGUACAGAUAUUCUCUCUGAACAAUGGUCUCAAAUGCAUGGUUUCUGUUAUUCUGAAAUGUUGCCUUUUCACUUGAUUAAUUUGCACCUUCUGAGUGCUUGUUUUCAGUAGGACAAACAGAUUGUCAUUAACUGUAGAAAACUGCAUUCUAUCACACAAUACUGUUUAUCAGCCUACACAGCACCAAAGUCAACUGCAGUCAAGAAACCACAGUGUGGAUACAGUCUCAGUGCAGCUCCAGCUACAUCACAGUGCUGCUUAUUCAGCUGGCAAGAGAUGCAAAGGGAUUCUGCUCACUGAAUGACUCUUCUGGAUUUCUGCAGAGGAAACGUCAACACCCUGAAUGUCACAAAUGUGGGUCUGGGUGAGUUCAGGGUACCCUUCCAGUGGCAAUGUGGACAUAUUCCUUUAAUCAUAUUACUGCUAUAUUUGAUUCCAGAAACUUUGAUCAGAUACAGUGUGUCUAAUAGACAGGUCAGGAAAGGGUAAGAUCUGCUCUCCUAAAUUCAGGAAGAGGGUUGUUUUGAUAAUUACUGUAUAGAUGUAGCACUUGAAAGAUCCUGGUUUCUCUUUCUUCUAUUAGUUUUCUUUCUUACAGAAUCAUAGAGUCAUUAGGAUGUAAAGACCACUAAGAUUGUCUAAUCCAACCAUCAACUCAUGCCUGUGACCACUUUAACCACGUCCCUCAGUGCCACAUUCACUUGAACACCUCCAGGGACGCUGACUCCACCACCUCCCUGAGCAGCCCAUUUCAGUGCCUCACCUCUAUUUCUGAGAAGAAAUUUUUCCUAAUAUUGAAAUUGAACGUCCCCUGGUGCAACUUAGCCAUUCCCUCUCAUUGUAUCACUAGUUACUUGUGAAAUGAGGCCAUCUCCCACCUUAUCACAACCUCCUUUUCAGGGAGUUGUAGACAGCAAUAAUGUCUCUCCUGAGCCUCCUCUUCUCCAGACUGAACAGUCCUAGCUCCCUCAGUCGCUCCCCAUAAGACUUGUGCUCCAGACCCCUCACAGCAUCAUUGCCCUUCUCUGGACAUUCAGUGGCUGUGGUCAGUACAACUCCAUGUCCCACAAGGGAGCCAUUGUUUGUCUCAGUUCCUUAGGUCUCUGUCUCAUGCUCCAUUUUCUUCCUGGGCUGAUGCACCAGGGCAUUAGUGCUUUGGGAUUACAAUGUUUGGCUCUACACAGGGUCUAGGUGAGGUGCUUCAGGAACAGAAAUGCCACUUAUUAAUAAGCAGGUGAACAAGGAGCUAUAUGGCAGUGAAGUUCUUAAGUAUGUGUCUGGAGGCAGUGGCAGUGAAAGCACAUCUGUUCAUCUCGUCUCCACCAGAUGGUUAGUUUCAGUGCCUGAAGUUACUGUCAUUUAUUUCAUCAGUAAUUUUGUUCAGAGGAUGCUGAGGAAUGGACAAAUCCUGGAUACCAGAACAUGGUCUGACAUCUGAAAACUUUGCCAGGGACAUAAAUCUGUGGAAAUUGUUCCAACAGAAAGUUAAAGACACUGUCAGAGUUUUCUUCCUUUUGAUUGGUAGGAACAAAUUAAAUAUGAGAGAUACGUCUUUUUGAUCAAUAUGUAAUUUUUAAUUACUCUUUAUUGUGUUGUUUUUUUUUUUUUAAUUAUUAUUACUCUAUCUUGGAAAUAAGUUCUGGGAGAAGAAAGCAAAUCCCUUCUUUUCACUAAAUAGUUUGAAAGCUGAUUGUUCUUCGAUUCAAAAAUAAACAAGUGAACAAAAAAAAAGAUAAACUUGGUAGGAGUUUGUUAAGUCUGAGCAAAGAGUAACUCAAAGUUUAAUUGUCUGAGCAGCUCCUGAAGCUCUGAGUUUCCGGGAGGCUUAUAACAGAGCAUGGCUUUUUCCCUGGGGCCUUGGCCAGCCAUGACAGUAUCACUGAGUGGCAGAGAACAGGUAGCAUGGUCCCAGUCACUCAAAUGUCUGCUUGCUGAACUGUGGACACAGUGAACUGGGAAGAUUUGAUGCAUUUUUAGCUGGGACUCAGUAUUGCAAUGCCACAUAUCUGCAUGCAUCCUUGAAUCUUUAGACAGCCUGAAAUCGCACUCGGUCUUACAAAGUUGCACCCUUUAAGGAGGAUGUCAUAAAAUCCCAGACUUCUAAGUUGAACAUCAGUUUUAUUCUCUGGCUUUCAGUUCAAAAUAUUUAAAUAAAAUCUUCCUUUCUCACAAGUUCAUCUAUCUGUCCCACUUCAUUUUCACUGCAGCAUACCUGGGUUUUGAAUGUGUCUGGAGAUUAGCCUGUAAGAAGGAGGCUGAAGUCAAACUGAGGAGCACUUGGGUGUAAUUCCGACUAAUUCUCUGUGAUAUGGAGAACAUCAUUUGUGACAGCCAGGUUCAUUACAAACUCUCAGCCUGAAGCCUUUGAUAGAUGUUUUGAGAAAGUUAUAGGAACAAAAGCAUCAUCAGGUGAAUAGAUUGAGUCCCUCGAGUUCAUGAUUGGGCUUCAAGCUAAGCUAAAAGUAUAUUUUUUCUUUUGGUCAAGCUCAAAACAUUAACAAGAAUACAAUGGUAUCAAAAAAAUUGUGUGGAAUUUUUGUUUUACUUAUUCACAAGAAGUUUAGAGAGAGUCAGAUGUUCUCAUUUUAAUGUUUGUUUGUUUGAUGAGUACGAACCCUGGACAGUGUGAGGGCCAAAGCAUCUCCCAAGUCUUUGGGGUUGCUUGCAGAGGCGCACUCUGCACGCUCCAGUUCAGCAGACUUUUAUAGCCAUUUAAUGAGAUUUAAAGCUGUUAAAAUGUCUUCUUGGGCAUUCUCUUGUUCCUUUGAGUCCUGCUGACACUUCUAAAAAUAGCAAAGCUGGCAUAGAUGCCAGUUAGUGAAUGGAAGCAGAUUUACUACACAAAAAAGAGAUAAGGGAAGAGUUGCAGGUGAGGAGCUGUUUUAUCAGUUCACUACCUACUAUUAGGCUGUAUUAGAGCUGUUCUGCUUAUACCUUGGCCCUAUCAUUCUGCCUUUAAAGAAUUAUCUAUCAAAGUCUAAAUUUAUCAAUCCUGGAUAAAGAGCUCCCAGCAAUCUGUCAUGGAGGAAAGUGACAGAGUAGUUUAAAGGUAUUCUCAGUGCAGAUCAUUCGCCUGCAGCUGACUUUUCUGCUUGAAAAGAGACUUAACUCUUUUAGACUAUCAGAACUUUGCUCCUUAGAAGCAUCACUCUUCACUAAAAGGGAAAGUGCCCACACCACGAGAUAUUUUUGUUCUUAGCAGGAAACUGCAAGAGUAUUAAUUUAAAUGCAUUAGUGAGAUGUUACAUAUUUGUGUGCAUCAAAGAGAAGCCUGCAUUCCUCCUCACUGCCUUAGCCAUAUUUUGGUGGUUCCAUCUGCAGCUCUGCUGGAGCAGCAGUGUGACAUGUUCCUGCUGAAGGCUGAAAGUUGGAAAGGAAGGAGAAUUGGGAAGCCAGAUCUGGAAUUCCCAGGUCUCGUCCCACCAGCUCAGAGCACAGAAAGGAGAAAUCCACUGGGUUCAUGGUUUCCAGCAUUUGCCCAUAAAUCACCUAGGUAUAAGGUGUAUUAACCACCAGAAGACAGACAGUCCUUUCUAAGUGCAAGAAUGACUUAGCCAAACCAAAAGGACUCAGUAUGGUGUUUUGAAGACCUCUGUAAUUCCCUGACAUAUUUCCAGCAAGAUGGGAAAGAGCAGAGCACUGCAAUUAGUUGGACAUUUUCAGUAUGGAUCUCAGAGUCUAGACUGGGAGUUAUUGUAUUUGAAAGCCCCUAGCUUGCUGAUCCAUGCCUUAAUUUCCCUACCUUCUAAUGGGAAAGAUAGACUUGUGGCAAUAAUUAGUGUCUGUAAAGCACUUCAGAAGCUUGUACAGUGUAUUCCCUAGAGUGACCUACCUACAAUCAAUGGGAUAUAAUGGCAUCAUACUAUCACAAUAAUUAAAUACUUCCAACUCUUCAGUUAACCAGUGUUUACAGUGCAACAAUGAGAUACAAGAAAUCUUAAUCUGGUUGACAGAGAACAAAUGUAAAGGAAAAAUAAGUAAAAUAUGCAGAACAUUUCUGUGAUGUACAAAAGUAAUCUCAUGUUCUUCUGUGCAAUUACAUUCAAAAGAGCUGUUAGGCAGUUCAGGAUGGUUCCCACAGCAUUCCAACUAGAAGCUCAGAGAAACACAUUCAUGCAAUGCAGGUCCAGUGCUUGGAUCCUGGUAAUCAAAAUUGUCCAGAAUAUAACUAGAGAAGCUGUCCUUCUGUGGACUGCUUCAAGAGAUGGGGUGAGGUAUUGGAACAGGCUGCCCAGGGAGGCGGUAGAGUCAAUGUCCCUGGAGGUGCUCAAGAAAAGUGUAGAUGCGGCACUGAGGGACAUAGUUUAUUGAUAUGGUGGUGACGAGUUGAUUGUUGGACUUGGUCAUCUUAGUGGUCUUUUCAGCCUUAAUGAUUCUAUGAUUCUAAGACAUUUGCGAUCUGUUUCUAAAUAGAGACCUUCAGUAAUAUUUCUGGGAGAGAAGAAGAAAUGUUCUCUGAAGUACGUGUCUUAAUAGACAAAGCCUUUGGCAAGGUGGAGCACCGUACAUCUCUUCACAAAUGAUUUUUAAUCUACACAACAGUUUUGAGAUUAUUUUUGCCUUUAUCACAUUUACAUUGUAUCAAAUACAGAAGUCUAUAGUUGUGAGAUUAAGGAUAGAAAAUACAGGAAUUUUGUAAGCAAACUACCUCGGAAUACAUUAAAAAAAAAAAAAUCCCACAAGUUCUAGCAUUCUAUAUCUGGAUAUCUGCAUUAACUUCUGCCUCCCCUUUUCUUCCUCCUUCAACCUGGAAGAGAAAAGAUAAGUCUGGAGAUGCUGACCUUGUAGUGUAGCUAUAUAUACUUACAUUUCUUUUACUGUAAAUAAAUACACACACAAGAUAGAACCAUAACCACAAAGGCUGUCUCACCAAAACCUGAACUUCUGUUGACCUACCACUGUAUUUUGUGUACUUGAAAGAAAACAGAGGCUAAAAAGAUGGAUUUGAACAAGACAACGUGUUCUGUGCAUAGCAUGGCGCAAAGUGCAUCCACAAUGUGAUUACCAGGAACCAAAUGGGACUGUGCUAUUUCAAAGGGAUUCUGAGUCAUAUAAUGUAUCCUCUAGGGAAUUUACUGCAACACAACAACAGACAGGCCAUCUUGUGUUUGGAAAACAUACCCCAUUUGAUGCUUCUUCAGAGUAAUGCUGAAUAAUAGAAGAUAUUUUGUAUCAUCUUAAUUUUUUAUGAUGCAUACAGCACCACAGCACAGGUCAAAUAGAAACAUUCAGUCUUAAAACACCAUGGACAACUUCAGGAAGUCAGUGGGGAACUACUUUGCUUUGAGUUCUGAGCACAUUGCCAGAUCACGCUGCUUACAUCCUCAGUAUUUGCUCAGAAUCUUUCAAACGUGGCACUGGUACAGUUCUUAACCUUCAGAUGAAGAAAGCGGACUUUUCUGGCAGUUUGUGAAUGAAAAAUGCAAGGAACUUCUGCUGUCCAUUUGUCUUACUUUCUCUUAUUGCACCCAUAUAUUACUCUGCUCAUAAGUAGUCAGAGAAAUUGCAAUUCAAUUUCAAGUAACUAGAUAGAUCUUUACACUAGGCUUGAUCCAAAGUCCACCUAAUAUUUCCACUGUUCCUAGUGGACUUUUCUAUCAGAUGCCUGACAUGAGUUUCACUGAAACCCCCAGUAAGCUCCAUGCUGUGGCAGUAGGAUCAAAGUUUAGAAGUGGCAAGGACUCCUGCACUUCUGACAGAUGCCCUUUUCCCAACGUUAUGCCCCUCAUGUCUGCAAAUCCAGUACUCCCACUGCUCAUCAAAUCUCUACUUUUGGUUCAGGUGGUUAGGCAAUUUUAUGUCAGUACCAUUACACAUUAGAAUGAUAGAAUCAUCGGAUAUCCUGAGUUCCCAGGGACCUAUAAGGAUCACUGGGUCCUCUCCUAGCCAAAAUCUGCUUUACAUGAAUGAACAAUAGCAGAGGAAUUCUUACUGGUGUGAGAGGAUACUAAGAGCAAAGGGAAAUAUGCAAAGAACUCCACUUUAACAACAUCUAUGUCUGUGCAAUACAUGUGAUUUGAGAAGCAUUAGCAUUUUGUUUUGUUUCAGUCUCAUAAUUAGAAGGAUUGUGCUUCAUUAUCCUACUGUAGCUCCUGCUGUGACAUGGUCCUGGUUAUCUUUCUGAAAGAAAUAUUUCAUAAACAGUAUCCAGUUAUGUUGGUUGAAUACAAAAGCUUUGGAAUUUUCAUUUCAAGUCAGAAAGGAAAAGAAAAAAAAAACAUUUAUUCUUAUGGAAUUAUUAUAUUCUUGUUUUAAUAAUAGGGAAGCAUUUCAGACAAGACAGUUCUUAUUCACAGAACUGAAUACUUGGAAUACUCAGGGAAAAUACGUCCUUAGUUGGCUUGGUUUUAGCAUUUCUUCUUGCAAGGUUGCUCUUAUUAGAACGGGGAAAAGAAAGAAAAAGAAAGUCCAUGUUAAUCAUCUGACGUAAAUGUGAUAGGAGAAGGGUCAUAGUCUUUUUUUUCCCUACAAAGACUUGAUUAUAUUGUUCUGCAUAGAAGGGCUAUUCUGAAAGCAGUAUCUCCUACUUCAUUAUGCUGGCCCGCAACAUCACAGGUGGAUGUUAGUGACAUGAAAGUAGAGGCUGAAUCUUCCCACCAAUAUUUCAUUAUGAAAUUGCUGUGUGGCAGCAGAGGAGCAGUCUGACAGAAUGGCAUCUGUCAUGGAAGUGCUUAUGAAGCAAAGAUAUAGCACUGAAUUCCUUCAUGAAGAAAAAAUGGCAUCUACUGACAUUCAUCGAUGCUUGCUGAAUGUUUAUGGAGUCCAAACAGUGGAAUUGAGCACAGUGAGGCAGUUUGUGGUCAAUUUCAGCAGCAGCAACAACGACAUAAAGACAAACCAUGUUCUGGAUGGCCAUGAAGAUAUUGACAAAUGUAGCAUGCAGGCUCUUGUUAAUAGCUGAUGAAAAUGCACAGCCAGUGGUGGUGACUGUUGAUAGAGCAAAUUCUCAACUACAAAACAAUAUCUUUCAAACAGUGUUAUUGUGCUCUUAUUAUCUCUUGUAGUUCCAUGGAAAUAAAUAGGAGGCAUUACUUUCAGGGAGACCUACCUUCUGCGUAAAAAAAGGUAGUUCUCAAUCUCAGAAGCCUCCCUGAUUGCCUAUAUGAGCUAUACCCAAAUAUUUCUGUCUUCUGGUUCUUUCUCCUCACCUUUCUCCUCACAUGGCAGUAUUCUGUCCUUCCUUUAAGGGAAGUUACAAAGUUGUGCCUCACAUAAACCACAUGUUAAUAGCUAAUCCGAUGAUGUUGCCAGUGAUACACAUAAUCUUAUGUUCCUGUGUGCAUAUGGCAACUACAGUAUUCAUUUUGAAUAUUCUUAUAUUCAGAAGGGAAAAGGUCUUUCCUAUAUUUAUGCUAAUUUGCAUAACAUACUCUACCCAGCAUUCAUCAUAUUCUGCUAAGCUCUGCCAAGGAAAAUGUAUUAAUAGCUGAACUGUUGUGACCCUUUAUUAAUAUCGACAUUGCAAGCUCUGUACCAGUUUUAAGACACACCGAGAAGACAGUAUUUUUGUUCUUAUUCCUUAAAUCUUUAUGAGUAAGUAAUCAGAGACAAUGAAAAAAUGCUCCAGGAGAAACAGCUUAGGCGUAAAGGCAAGCAAGGCAAGCAAUUGGAUCGUUCUGUCUUGCAGCUGUUGGAUCUAUGACUCUAUGCACCCUUUAUUUAUUUAGUUAGUUAGUUAGUUUCUGGGGAUAAACUGAUACAUCCAUAGUUAGCACAUACCUCUACUCAUUGUUUAAAAAAAGAACACAAGAAAUUACACAGGGAAAAUGUGAAAAUAUAUGAAUAACGAUCAUAGCAUAAUAGAAUAGUUUUCACUGGAAGGAACCUUCAAGACCAUGGAGUGGACAGAAGGAAGUUUUCCUGUUUGUGGGAACAGCAGAAAGUUGUGGAGCUCUGCCUGGGGGUUGGGGGUGGGUGAUUAGCUUACAGAUCAGGAUCAGUGGCUGAGUUCACUGCCUCUAGUCCUUAUAAGAGACUUCAGUCACCCUGGUAUCAUCUGGAGGAGAAACACAGCAGGUCAUAAACAAUUCAUUGCUAGACUCAAAGAUUUGCUAUAGGUGGCACAAAGUCUGGCCAGAGACCAGUCACCUCUGGUGUACCUCUGGGACUGAUACUGGGGCAAAUAUUCUUUAGUAUUAGCUUUACUGACCUAGGUGGUAGGAGAGCACAGACUCAGAAGGUUCUCAAGUAAUAUUAAACUGAGAGAAGUGGUGGGUUGUAAUGCUGUAAUGUCAUGGAAAGUAUAGCAGUAAUAGCAGGGUAGCAAAGUCUUUGGUUACAGCAAAUGAGAACAAGCCCAAAUGCAGCAGCCAUGGAUACAGAAAUGAAGGAAAUAAAGCUGCUUGCCUUUAGAAGGCCCCAGGAAGGCCAGGAUCUCCAGCAGUAUACCCUUGCCUCCACUGCCAGCUCUUAAAUGAGGUCUGGGAAGGGGUGUAUCCUGGUUUCAGCCCCUCUGGUCACUCAGGUACAUUGCAUGCACCUGAGCUCCCCCAGGUCAGCCCUGCCUUCCCAGGCGGUGCUCAAUCACUGUUUCAAGCCAUGACUUAGCAUUUUCACUACUUGGGUACACCAUACAAUUGUGCUGCCAUUCAAAAUGACAUCAACCCUAUGAAACAGAACAAACGGAAAUGGAAAGUCUUUCAUCUAGGAAGGGAAAAACACCAAGCACCAGCAUAUGCUAGAUGCCAACCAACUGGAAAACAGCUUUGUAGAGAAGGACUCGGUAGAUACCAAGGUAACCAUGUGUUUCAUGGUUUAUCACCAGUAUUCCACAUCAUAACACCAUGCAGUGCAGUGGGAGUCAACGAGUUAAUGCUGCAGUUCCAUACAUUGUCGAUAUUUCCGGACUCUUGGUCUCAGAAGAGAAUGAACUACAGCUCCCAGAAGACUUCAUUUUUCUGUUUUCAUUUUCCAUCCAGUGGAAAAGAUAAAACUGGCUGGGAGGCGUGUGACUUCCCUCUUUGUUCCCUGGCCACUUCCUACAGCAUUAGACUAAGGACUUCAGUUUGGAAUCUCUCUUUCUCAUUUGAUACAUUAGCUUCGAUUUCAAUCAUAUUGUAUUAUAUUGUAUUAUCUCACAUUCCGCUACUGUAUUUAGUAAAGUAAGUUUUUUUUCCCUUUAGCCUGUUGUCGCUGUUCUUUCUCAUCCAGGCCCAUCUCCCCACCUUUUCCCUUCCCCUCUCCAGUGCAUGGAUCCAUGGGGUCCCUUCACCCUCUUGUCACAGGAACCAGGCUGAACCAGGCCAAAUCUUGACACUGUGAUGCAGAAAUGGCAAAGAAGAUUAAAGAUCCAGGUUAAAGGAGGUGAUUCUUUCACUGACGCUGAAUCACAUUCUCUUGCUGUGUGCAGUGCUGGGCUUCCUGGCACGAGAGAUAUGGUCAUGCUGGAGCAAGUCCAACGAAGGGCUACCAAGAUAACGAAGGAACUGGAGCAUUAGCCUUAUAAAGAGACACAGAGAGUUGGCAAUAUUCAGCCUGGAGCAGAAAAGGCUCAGAGGAAACUUCCAUUUGUGUAAAUAUCUCACGGAGGUGGGAAAGACUCAGAUUCUUCUCAGUGGCGCGCAGUGAAGGGACAAGAGGAAAUAGGCGCAGAUUGAAAUACUGAAAAUUUCACUUAAAUUUAAAAUUAAUAAAUAGAUAGAUAAAUAAACUUUUGUACUGUGAACUUGAUAUGAAAUAUCAA
rnacentral:lncRNA from 1 species